ACUCCUACGGGAGGCAGCAGUGGGGAAUAUUGGACAAUGGGCGAAAGCCUGAUCCAGCCACGCCGCGUGAGUGAUGAAGGCCUUCGGGUUGUAAAGCUCUGUGGGGAGGGAAGAAAACGGCCGGUAAGAAACGACCGGUCCUUGACGGUACCUCCUUAGCAAGCACCGGCUAACUCUGUGCCAGCAGCCGCGGUAAUACAGAGGGUGCGAACGUUGCUCGGAAUCACUGGGCGUAAAGCGCGUGUAGGCGGAUCGGCAAGUCAGAUGUGAAAUCCCCGAGCUCAACUCGGGAAUUGCAUCUGAAACUGCCGGUCUUGAGUGUCGGAGAGGGUAGCGGAAUUCCUGGUGUAGAGGUGAAAUUCGUAGAUAUCAGGAGGAACACCGGUGGCGAAGGCGGCUACCUGGACGACUACUGACGCUGAGACGCGAAAGCGUGGGGAGCAAACAGGAUUAGAUACCCUGGUAGGAUAG
rnacentral:rRNA from 1 species